rnacentral:tRNA from 1 species
ACAGCAUUAGCUCAAAGGAUAGAGCCAUAUUCUUCUAAAAUAUAGGUUAAAAGUUCGAAUCUUUUAUGUUGUU